GCGCGUCCGUCUACAGCCAUUUUUUUUUUAUUCCACCUCCUGACUACGACCACGUUUUCUUCCCUCGUUCAUCGUUCCGUAAUGUACUAGUUGCUGAAUCCGAGGUCUCCAUCCUCGCUUUUCUAAAAUGUAUCAUGUAGUGGAGUUCAAAGCAACCCAAGAAGUAGAGGUGGUGCCUUCUAAUUGGGUUUUAAACAAAGAGGAAUGUUUAUGGCCAGACUCAGCACCAGCCUGGAAAGUGUCGAGCAUGGUUCAUCAUCGAGCAGAAACCAAUAAAGAUUUUACGAAAUAUGAUAUGAGGUCAUUGGGUACAUUUUGGACAUAUGAGGAAGCUAGAGGAAAACUGAAAAAGGCAGAGUACUCCUCAGAUAUAGUUUCCGACGCAGAUGCACCGAGAGAGAAAAGAUUGCAUCACCAAGACUGCUGCAGCAGCAAUAGUGAAACUGAAGAACAAUCUCAGUCGCUUUUGUGUGCUGCACCAGCAAGAAGCCAAAAGAAGAUAAAAAUCCUUCGAGGACCAAGGGUUGAAGUUCCAGACUGCCCGGACUCAUUCAAUACCGAGUAUUUGAUUGGAACACCUGCACUGCCAAGUGCUCCUACAAUAAGAAUCCCACCCCCAAAUAAUCAGUCACCCAUAAUAACUCCAACAAACACUUUUGCAAUGCCAAACACAAAUACACCUCCACCCUUAAACAAUUUUGCUGCCUCUCAUACGAACACACUUAACUCAGAUAAUUUUGCCCCCCCCUUCAAUCCUCAUCCUCUUGCGCUUGCUCCAAAUUACAUUUACACCUUCUAAAAAAAAUACAAAAGGAGCAAGCAGCACAGAGGGAACUUUUAAUGCAGCUAUUAAAACAAAAAACAAACACAAAAACACACUUAGCUAAAUCGUUGCCACAAGACUUCCCCAUAAACUUGCCCCUAACGGAAAUUAACCAGCUCCCACUAACUGACACCUACCUACAAAAUGAUGAAAAAUUUUCAGAAACAGUUUCCUACUUGGCAACUAUAGGAGGGUUAGGUGCAAAGCAAGUAAUGCAUCGCUUGCUAUCCUCUGUCCUCCACCAAGAUCUUGCUGUGAUGCUGAAUUGGAAAGGCAGAGGCGAAAAGCAUGCAUUUCAUCAAUACCGAAGAAUAAUUUUAUGUAUUUUCCGUGCAGCACAAGCCAAUGCUCAAGAUUAUACAUUGAACAACGCAGAAGUGUUUAUUAAGAGUUGGCUGAGGUUUGCCCCUGACCGGAAUGGGACACGCAAAAAAAAU